CCAAUAGCGUAUAUUAAAGUUGUUGCAGUUAAAAAGCUCGUAGUUGAAUUUCGGGAUCAAUAUAUCGGUCGUGCCAUCGGUACGUACUGGUAUGAUUGGUUUCUCCUUCCUGACGAACCAUGAUGUCAUUAAUUUGGUGUUAUGGGAAGUUAGGACUGUUACUUUGAAAAAAUUAGAGUGUUUAAAGCAGGCUUUGGCUUGAAUACAUUAGCAUGGAAUAAUGAAAUAGGACGUUCGAACCUAUUUUGUUGGUUUCUAGGAUCAACGUAAUGAUUAAUAGGGAUAGUUGGGGGCAUUAGUAUUCAAUUGUCAGAGGUGAAAUUCUUGGAUUUAUUGAAGACUAACUACUGCGAAAGCAUUUGCCAAGGAUGUUUUCAUUAAUCAAGAACGAAAGUUAGGGGAUCGAAGACGAUCAGAUACCGUCGUAGUCUUAACCAUAAACUAUGCCGACUAGGAAUCAGACGAUGUUAAUUUUUUAAUGACUCGUUUGGCACCUUACG
rnacentral:rRNA from 1 species